rnacentral:rRNA from 1 species
AACGAACGCUGGCGGCAUGCCUAACACAUGCAAGUCGAACGAGACCUUCGGGUCUAGUGGCGCACGGGUGCGUAACGCGUGGGAAUCUGCCCUUGGGUUCGGGAUAACAGUUGGAAACGACUGCUAAUACCGAAUGAUGACUUCGGUCCAAAGAUUUAUCGCCCAGGGAUGAGCCCGCGUCGGAUUAGUUUGUUGGUGAGGUAAGAGCUCACCAAGGCGACGAUCCGUAGCUGGUCUGAGAGGAUGAUCAGCCACACUGGGACUGAGACACGGCCCAGACUCCUACGGGAGGCAGCAGUGGGGAAUAUUGGACAAUGGGCGAAAGCCUGAUCCAGCAAUGCCGCGUGAGUGAUGAAGGCCUUAGGGUUGUAAAGCCCUUUUACC